GCACUGGGCACUGACUUUCGACACGUUUUCUGACUUAAUUUUAGUUUAUUGCUUUUUAUGUAUCUGUGUGUGUGUGAGAGUGGUGGUGUUUGUGUGUGUGUGUGUGUAUUAAAAAUCAUUCAUAGUAUACGCACACCACCCGCUCGACUGCAGUUUAUGAGCGACCGGCAAACAAUUGGCAUGCUCAGACUAGAACGUCGUCCGCCACGUGUUGCGGAUGAUAUCCUUGGCGAAUUGUUGGGCGUAGUGCUGCUCCUUUGAAGUCGCCCAGGACGCACUAGAGUCCGUUGACUUUUCCAAUUGGUGGGGUCGUAACUGAUGCUAAGACGUGAAAUUAAGUCAGCCUCCGCUCAGCGCCGCUCAACAACGCGAUUUUCCUCGGCUGAGGGGCUGGGGAUGUUGAGCUCUACUUAUGCCUGUGACAGAUAUAAACUUUUUGUUUACUGUUCUCACGCUUGUGACUACCAAAUGACGGAUUGAAUUAGCAACAUUUCUUACCUUUAGCUUGAGCAUAUCAAAUUGGCAAAAGGAUAUCAAACAUCUGCAUAGAUACAUUUCCAAUCAGACAUACAUAUGUGCAUACUCUCCAUAUGUACUCCAAGCUGACCCCUCAAUAGCACGCAACGAGUGGCCUUUCACAAGUGUUGACACAAGUCUUCAGCUUUAACUGAAAAACAUCAUUUCCAGUUUGAUGAUGAAUUCAAGUGCUACCCAGGAUGCUAUCUGGCACUCGCCCUUGCACUACCACCGCCGCCUCCACCGCCACCGCCACGGACGCUCUUGGCUCUGGGGCAGCCUGGCAUGCAGAACUCUUCUGUGCAGCCGACAGUAUUUGCACAAAAAAGUUAAUUAAUUUAAUGAAAGGCUCGCAAACUAGUGUAACAAGUUCAGUUGUCAUAUAAGUACAUUUGUAAUUACAUAAAUAAGGCAGCCCACGUUACGGGUUCGUAAUUAAAAGCAUAGCCGCCUUUGCCAGUGGUUAGAGUGUAGAAUUAAACAUAAUAAUUCUUUGUAGCUAUUUGUAUAACAGAAGUGAAGCUGUUAUUUGUCUUGGCCAAUGGCUAUAUAUUUGUCAUAUUUGCUUAAGACACAUGCCCACAAAUAAGCCUUUUACAGUCAAAGUUCUCCUCCUCCUCCUCAAGCUCCAUCCCAACAAGAAUACA